rnacentral:rRNA from 2 species
GACGAACGCUGGCGGCGUGCCUAACACAUGCAAGUCGAGCGAAAGUAUGCUUCGGUAUACUUUAGCGGCGGACGGGUGAGUAACACGUGGGUAACCUGCCUCAAAGAGGGGGAUAGCCUCCCGAAAGGGAGAUUAAUACCGCAUAAUAUCAGGGUUUCGCAUGGAACUUUGAUUAAAGGAGACGUCAUUUAUGACGCAUCCGCUUUGAGAUGGACCCGCGGCGCAUUAGCUAGUUGGUGAGGUAAAGGCUCACCAAGGCGACGAUGCGUAGCCGACCUGAGAGGGUGAUCGGCCACAUUGGAACUGAGAAACGGUCCAGACUCCUACGGGAGGCAGCAGUGGGGAAUAUUGCACAAUGGGGGAAACCCUGAUGCAGCAACGCCGCGUGAGUGAUGAAGGUCUUCGGAUUGUAAAGCUCUGUCUUUUGGGACGAUAAUGACGGUACCAAAGGAGGAAGCCACGGCUAACUACGUGCCAGCAGCCGCGGUAAUACGUAGGUGGCGAGCGUUGUCCGGAAUUACUGGGCGUAAAGGAUGCGUAGGCGGAUAUUUAAGUCAGAUGUGAAAUACCCGGGCUUAACUUGGGUGCUGCAUUUGAAACUGGAUAUCUAGAGUGCGGG